rnacentral:rRNA from 1 species
AACGAACGCUGGCGGCAGGCCUAACACAUGCAAGUCGAACGAGAGGCGGACUGGUGAGCAAUGGCGGGGAAACUGCCUGACGGAGGGGGAUAACUACUGGAAACGGUAGCUAAUACCGCAUACCAGCAGAUCUGCCCAGAUGGGUUUAGCUAGCAGGUGGGGUAAUGGCUCACCUAGGCGACGCUCCCUAGCUGGUCUGAGAGGAUGACCAGCCACACUGGAACUGAGACACGGUCCAGACUCCUACGGGAGGCAGCAGUAGGGAAUCUUGCACAAUGGACGCAAGCCUGAUGCAGCCAUGCCGCGUGAGUGAAGAAGGCCUUCGGGUUGUAAAGCACUUUCGGCGAGGAGGCGUUACUCGCAGAAGAAGCACCGGCUAACUCCGUGCCAGCCGCCGCGGUAAUAC